rnacentral:rRNA from 1 species
GACAGAGGGUGCAAACGUUGCUCGGAAUCACUGGGCGUAAAGGGCGCGUAGGCGGCCUGUUAAGUCGAACGUGAAAUCCCCGGGCUCAACCCGGGAACUGCGUCCGAUACUGGCAGGCUUGAAUUCGGGAGAGGGAUGCGGAAUUCCAGGUGUAGCGGUGAAAUGCGUAGAUAUCUGGAGGAACACCGGUGGCGAAGGCGGCAUCCUGGACCGAGAUUGACGCUGAGGCGCGAAAGCCAGGGGAGCAAAGCGGG